rnacentral:rRNA from 1 species
UGGGGAAUUUUGCACAAUGGGCGCAAGCCUGAUGCAGCGACGUCGCGUGAGGGAUGAAGGCCUUCGGGUUGUAAACCUCUCUCGCUCAUGGUCAAGCCGUAGCUUUGGGUUGUGGUGAGGGUAGUGGGUAAAGAAGCGCCGGCUAACUACGUGCCAGCAGCCGCGGUAAUACGUAGGGCGCGAGCGUUGUCCGGAAUUAUUGGGCGUAAAGGGCUUGUAGGCGGUUGGCCGCGUCUGCCGUGAAAUCCUCUGGCUUAACUGGGGGCGUGCGGUGGGUACGGGUUGACUUGAGUGCGGUGGGGGAGACUGGAAUUCCUGGUGUAGCGGUGGAAUGCGCAGAUAUCAGGAGGAACACCGGUGGCGAAGGCGGGUCUCUGGGCCGUUACUGACGCUGAGGAGCGAAAGCGUGGGGAGCGAACAGG